rnacentral:rRNA from 1 species
GUAGGGAAUAUUGCACAAUGGAGGAAACUCUGAUGCAGCGACGCCGCGUGAGUGAUGAAGGCCUUCGGGUCGUAAAACUCUGUGAUAAGGGAAGAUGAUGACGGUACCUUAUCAGAAAAGACCGGCUAACUUCGUGCCAGCAGCCGCGGUAAUACGAGGGGUCUAAGCGUUGUUCGGAAUCACUGGGCGUAAAGCGGGUGUAGGUGGCUAUGCAAGUUGGAUGUGAAAGCCCCGGGCUCAACCCGGGAAGUGCAUCCAAAACUACGUAGCUUGAGUGCGGGAGAGAAAGGCAGAAUUCCUGGUGUAGUGGUGAAAUACGUAGAUAUCAGGAGGAACUCCGGUGGCGAAGGCGGCCUUUUGGCCCAGCACUGACACUCAGACCCGAAAGCGUGGGUAGCAAACAGGAUUAGAAACCCGGGUAGUCC